rnacentral:rRNA from 1 species
CGGACGGGUGAGUAACGCGUGAGAAUCUGCCCUUAGGAAGAGGAUAACAGCUGGAAACGGCUGCUAAUCCUCUAUAAGCCGAAAGGUAAAAGGAUUUAUCCGCCGUAGGAAGAGCUCGCGUCUGAUUAGCUAGUUGGUAAGGUAAUGGCUUGCCAAGGCGACGAUCAGUAUCUGGUUUGAGAGGACGAUCAGACACACUGGAACUGAGACACGGUCCAGACUCCUACGGGAGGCAGCAGUGGGGAAUUUUCCGCAAUGGGCGAAAGCCUGACGGAGCAAUACCGCGUGAGGGAAGAAAGCCUACUGGGUUGUAAACCUCUUUUUUCAGGGAGGAAAAAAAUGACGUGUACCUGAAGAAUAAGCAUCGGCUAACUCCGUGCCAGCAGCCGCGGUAAGACGGAGGAUGCAAGUGUUAUCCGGAAUUACUGGGCGUAAAGCGUCUGUAGGUUGUUUAAUAAGUCAACUGUUAAAUCUUGAGGCUUAACUUCAAAACAGCAGUCGAAACUAUUAGACUAGAGUAUAGUAGGGGUAAAGGGAAUUUCCAGUGGAGCGGUGAAAUGCGUAGAUAUUGGAAAAGAACACCGAUGGCGAAAGCACUUUACUGGGCUAUUACUGACACUCAGAGACGAAAGCUAGGGUAGCAAAUGGGAUUAGAUACCCCUGUAGUC